AGUGAACGCUGGCGGUAGGCCUAACACAUGCAAGUCGAACGGCAGCACCGCAAGAGCUGUACAUUACGGGCGACGGGGGGCGUAACGGGGGGGAAUCCUUCGCACUCCACUUUUUCGUGGGGGAUAACGUGGGGCAACUACCGCUAAUACCCCUUACGACCUACGGGUGAAAGCAGGAGAUCUUUGGACUUUGGGCGAUUCAAUGACCUGAUGUCUUAUUAGCUAGUUGGCGGGGUAAAGGACCACCAAGGCGACGACCGGUAGCUGGUCUGAGAGGAUGAUCAGCCACACUGGAACUGAGACAAGGUCCAGACUCCUACGGGAGGCAGCAGUGGGGAAUAUUCGACAAGGGGCGGAAGCCUGAUCCAGGCAUACCGCGUGGGUGAGGAAGGCCUUCGGGUUGUAAAGCACUUUUGUUGGGAAAGAAAAGCAGCAGGUCAAUACCGCGCUGUUCUGACGGUACCCAAAGAAUAAGCACCGGCUAACUUCGUG
rnacentral:rRNA from 1 species